UACGGGGGGGGUAAGCGUUGUUCGGAAUUACUGGGCGUAAAGGGCUCGUAGGCGGCCAACUAAGUCGGACGUGAAAUCCCUCAGCUUAACUGGGGAACUGCGUCCGAUACUGGAUGGCUUGGAUUCGGGAGAGGAAUGCGGAAUUCCAGGUGUAGCGGUGAAAUGCGUAGAUAUCUGGAGGAACACCGGUGGCGAAGGCGGCAUUCUGGACCGACAUUGACGCUGAGGAGCGAAAGUGUGGGGAGCGAACAGG
rnacentral:rRNA from 1 species